UUAAAUUGAAGAGUUUGAUCAUGGCUCAGAUUGAACGCUGGCGGCAGGCCUAACACAUGCAAGUCGAACGGUAACAGGAAGCAGCUUGCUGCUUCGCUGACGAGUGGCGGACGGGUGAGUAAUGUCUGGGAAACUGC
rnacentral:rRNA from 5 species